CUUUAUUCGCACGUCUUUUAUGCGAUAAACCAGUUUUGCGCAUAAAGUUUAUUAGCAUUUUUGGAUGGAAACUUAACAAGUGCCGGCCCGUCCAACAAGCAACAGGGCCAACUAGGGCCCCGCGUUUCUUGGAGGGUCCCACAAACAACAUGAUGAGUGGCUGAACAUGAUGAGUGACCUUCCUGUAGAUUUCAGUUGCUACCCAUUUCAAACACACCUGCUUGUAAUUAUCAAGUACUGUUCAGGUCCUAAUUAGUUGGUUCAGGUGUGUUUGAUCAGGGUGAGAGCUGUGUCUAGCAGGAAGGUAGAUCUCCAGGAACAGGAUUGAGCAGCCCUGUUGAAAAAUAUACCGAUUUACUACGCAUACUACUUAAAAAAACAACUGAAUUACAUUAAUUAUUAAUUACAUGUUAUAAAAUAAUUAUGACUCAUAAUUGGAUAAAGACUAUAAUUCUUUAUCCAUUACAAGAAGCUAAAAUUAAUAAAAGUUCAUGGCGAAUUUAGUUAAAUGAACUGAAGUUAACUAUUGGAGUCUUACUGCCCUGUGUUAAUGUACUAUAGUUUUAUAAAUAAUAUCAGAAUUUUAAAUGAAUGAUUCUGUAUGUGGUAGGCCAGAAUAACAUGUGAAAAUGUUCAUGAUUGAACCAUUAAGAUGUCCUAAACCUCCAAGCAUUUAGGACUGUUAUGAAACCACUGCAAGUACUAAUUGAAUAAUCUAAAAAGCACUCUAAAAGUCUAAAUAUUAAUAUUCACAGUAUUUUAAACUGCACAAGAUCUCAAUAUGCAUGCUUAUAAUAAUGAUAUAUUAAAUUUAAUUUCUAUUGUGAAUAUACAAAAAUAUUACAACAAAUUUUGUAGUUUAGAAUGACAUCCACUUCUUAUCAGAGUGUUAGCUCCUUGAUAUCAAUUAUUAACAGUGGCUGCACGUAUUUUUAGGCUAAAUUAAUUAGACUGCUUUCAAUUAAACAUCGACUACUUACAAGGACAGCCUUUAUAAAGCUAUUAAAACCUCUCUUCUACAUAUAAAGAUGUGAAUGAAAAGCCAAAACCUUUAUAAACAAGAGCUCUACGGAGCUAUACGUACCUUGCCUGAAAACAGUUGAGUAACAGACUUUUUGAUAACGAAUAUCAAAAAUGUUUUUUUUUUCUAUUAGUUUUGAGAAUGAGAAAUAACCUCAAAGAAACUGAAAUGGGUGUUCAAAAGGUCACAAAUAUCAUUAAAACAUUACAAACUAUUAGCUUUUAAGCAGAGAAAUUAAAGCCAGUAUUGUGUGUUGGGGACAUUUCAUCAAAGCUUGUGUAAAACCAGGGCAGUUUCCCACUAUAAACACUGAAACCAUGACAAAGUUAAUAUUAUACUGAAGUAGGCUGAGAUUAUCUUUGAAAACUAAAACACAAAAAUCACAAUUUUUCUUCUAAAAUACUCAAUUUUUAUCUUUGUGUAACAGAGAUAAUGCACUCUGUUAAAUAACUGUUAUUUUUUACAUUUUACUACUUUUAUUUAAUUAUUUUGUUCAACAUUUGUGAAUUUUAUUAAGCAUUUUAUUUGUGUCCUGUUGUAAUAAUAUGAUGCACGUCGCCCUUUUUGUACCUCCCGAGUUUCCGUACCUCUUCUCUUCGCUCACGUUGCUGCUGUGCAUCGCUGAGGAUCUGCUCCUCCUCCUUCGGUUAGUGAGUGAAGAUGAUCACCAGAACAUCAUCAAGAAGAGAAAUCUGCAAAGACAAGAGUUUAUUGAAGGACCGUGAGAACAUGAGUGAUCCAGAACCCUGCAGAACUACACAUGAAGAUACUGAACAACAAACAGACCCAUUUGGGGAGAAUAAGGAGAGUGAAGAGGAGGAACGUCAUGUUGAAGCUGGGAAAAACCCUAAUUUACAGACUUCUGGUGUUUUAAAAAGGAGAGACAAGAAUCGUUUGACCUGCACUCAGUGUGGAAAGAGCUUUAGAACCAAAAAGAGUCUUAAGCUUCACAUGAGGAUCCACACCGGAGAGAAACCAUUCAAGUGUACUCAGUGUGGAAAGAGUUUCCAAUACUUAUCACAACUUAAUCAACACAUGAGGAUCCACACCGGAGAGAAACCCUUCACAUGCACUCGGUGUGGAAAGAGUUUUUUUACACUCAUCAGACCUUAAUGUACACAUGAGGGUCCACACCGGAGAGAGACCAUUCACAUGUAAACUGUGUGGAAAGACUUUCAAACACAAAUCACACCUUAAUCAACACAUGAGGAUCCACACUGGAGAAAGACCAUUCUCGUGUACUCAGUGUGGGAAGAGCUUUAGAGACUCAUCAACCUUUAAUAAACACAUGACGAUCCACACUGAUGAGAAACCAUUCACAUGUACUCAGUGUGGGAAGAAUUUCAGAGACUCAUCACAACUUAAACAACACAUGAGGAUCCACACCGGAGAGAAGCCAUUCACAUGUACUCAGUGUGGGAAGAGUUUCAGCCAAUCAUCACAGCUUAAUCAACACAUGAUGAUUCACACUGGAGCAAAACCAUUCAUAUGUUCUCAGUGUGGGGCCAGUUUCAGCCAACAAUCAUCCCUUAAACAGCACAUGAGGAUCCACACCGGAGAGAAACCAUUCACAUGUCCUCAGUGUGGGAAGAGUUUCAGACACUUGUCAAACUUUAGUAAACACAAGAUGAUCCACACUGGAGAGAAACCAUAUGCAUGUUCUCAGUGUGGGAAGAGUUUUAGCCACUCAUCACACCGUAAUAGACACAUGAGGACCCACACUGGAGAGAAACCACACACAUGUACUCAGUGUGGGACGAGUUUCUCUGAACCAUCAUCCCUUAAUCAACACAUGAUGAUCCACACCGGAGAGAAACCGUUCACAUGUUCUCAGUGUGGGAAGAGUUUCAGCCUAUCAUCACGCCUUACUCAGCACAUGAAGAUCCACACCGGAGAGAAACCACACAAAUGUGAUCACUGCAGCAAAACAUUUUUGAGGCCUUCAAAGCUGAAGGUCCAUCUUGCACUUCAUAGAAGCGAGAAGCCUUAUUCAUGUCCUGUGUGUGAAAAGAGUUAUACAUUGGAGUCCAAAUUAAAAAGGCAUCAGAAGUCCCACACUGCUGUUAGACAGUAUAUGUGCUUUAAGUGUAAGAAGACUUAUAUUACAGCUACACAACUGAAACUGCAUGAGAGGAAUCACACUGGAGAGAAACCUUUCAAGUGUUCACACUGUGACAAGAGAUUUAGUCUGUUAGGAUCCCUAAAAUCGCAUGAGAAGGUUCACACUGGAGAGAAACUGUACAAGUGUUCACAGUGUAGCAAGAGGUUUAGUCAUUUAGGAACCCUAAAAAGACAUGAGAGGAUUCACACUGGAGAGAAGCCGUACACAUGUGAUCAGUGUUCUCAGAGUUUCACAUACUUAGAGAGGCUUAAGAAACACAUGAACAUCCACACUGGAGAAAAGCUGCACAAAUUUCCGUACCUCUUCUCUUCCCGCCUCCCGCACAAGACAUUGCUGCUGUGCAUCGCUGAGGAUCCUUCAUUUCGAAGCUCUUCCUCCUUUGGGUGUAAAUACUGGAAUUUUCCGAUCAGCCCACUAGUGAAGAUGAGCACUAGAAAAUCAACAAGAAGUGAAAUCUGCAAAGAGAAGAGUUUAUUGAAGGACCGUGAGAACAUGAGUAAUCCGGACCCCUGCAAAACUACACAUGAAGAUACUGAACAACAAACAGACCCAUUUGGGGAGAAUAAGGAGAGUGAAGAGGAGGAACGUCAUGUUGAAGCUGGGAAAAACCCUAAUUUACAGACUUCUGGUGUUUUGAAAAGGAGAGACAAGAAUCGUUUGACCUGCACUCAGUGUGGAAAGAGCUUUAGAACCAAAAAGAGUCUUAAGCUUCACAUGAGGAUCCACACCGGAGAGAAACCAUUUAAGUGUACUCAGUGUGGAAAAAGUUUCCAAUACUUAUCACAACUUAAUCAACACAUGAGGAUCCACACCGGAGAGAGACCAUUUAAGUGUACUCAGUGUGGAAAGAGUUUCCAAUAUUCAUCAAGCCUUAAUUUACACUUGAAGAUCCACACCGGAGAGAGACCAUUCACAUGCACUCAGUGUGAAAAGAGUUUUGGACACUCCUCAGAGCUUAAUGUACACAUGAGGGUCCACACCGGAGAGAGACCAUUCACAUGUAAACUGUGUGGAAAGACUUUCAAACACAAAUCACACCUUAAUCAACACAUGAGGAUCCACACUGGAGAGAGACCAUUCACAUGUACUCAGUGUGGGAAGAGUUUCCAAUACACAUCAAACUUAAAUAAACACAUGAUGAUCCACACUGGAGAGAGACCAUUCACCUGUACUCAGUGUGGUAAGAGUUUCAGAGACUCUUCACAACUUAAUAAACACAUGAUGAUCCACACUGACGAGAAACCAUUCACCUGUACUCAGUGUGGGAAGAGUUUCAAACACGUAUCGACCUUUAAUAAACACAUGAUGAUUCACGCUGGAGCGAAACCUUUCAUAUGUUCUCAGUGUGGGAAGAGUUUCAGGCUAUCAUCAUCCCUUAAUCAGCACAUGAGGGUCCACACUGGAGAGAAACCAUUCACAUGUCCUCAGUGUGGGAAGAGUUUCAGAUACAUAUCAAACUUUACUAAACACAAGAUGAUCCACACUGGAGAGAAACCAUAUGCAUGUUCUCAGUGUGGGAAGAGUUUUAGCCACUCAUCACACCGCAAUAGACACAUGAGGACCCACACUGGAGAGAAACCACACACAUGUACUCAGUGUGGGACGAGUUUCUCUGAACCAUCAUCCCUUAAUCAACACAUGAGGAUCCACACCGGAGAGAAACCGUUCACAUGUACUCAGUGUGGGAAGAGUUUCAGCCAAUUAUCACACCUUCAUCAACACAAGAGGAUCCACACCGGAGAGAAAAAACACAAAUGUGAUCAAUGCAGCAAAACAUUUUUAAGUGCUUCACAGCUGAAGAUGCAUCUUUCAAUUCAUAGAAGCGAGAAGCCUUAUUCAUGUCCUGUGUGUGAAAAGAGUUAUACAGUGGAGUCCAAAUUAAAAAGGCAUCAGAAGUCCCACACUGCUGUGAGACAGUAUAUGUGCUUUAAGUGUAAGAAGACUUAUAUUACAGCUACACAACUGAAACUGCACGACAGGAUUCACACUGGAGAGAAACCUUUCAAGUGUUCACACUGUGACAAGAGAUUUAGUCUGUUAGGAUGCCUAAAAUCGCAUGAGAAGGUUCACACUGGAGAGAAACUGUACAAGUGUUCACAGUGUAGCAAGAGGUUUAGUCUUUUAGGAACCCUGAAAAGACAUGAGAGGAUUCACACUGGAGAGAAGCCGUACACAUGUGAUCAGUGUUCUCAGAGUUUCACAUACUUAGAGAGGCUUAAGAAACACAUGAACAUCCACACUGGAGAAAAGCUGCACAAAUGACGCCAAUGCAGCAAAACAUUCUCUCCAGUGAAAAGGUGUUUCAUGUCUGAACAUCAGAUAAUUCUGGUGUGAGAGAUUGAGUGUGAAAAGUAGAGAAAUUAACAUGGGAAUUAUCAGUGAACAGAGUAAAAGACUGAGCUUUAGAUAAAACACACCCAGUGGUGGGCUUUUGUUCAUUUAACUUGAACAAAGUUAUGAAUGACCAAUAUGAUAAAAAAAUUUAAUUCUAGGUCUUAUGGAAAUUUAAAAUUGUGUAUCAUCAGCACAAAAUGGAAAUGAAGACUAUAAUAAUGAAAUGUAUGACCUAAAGGUAAAAUAUAAAUGAUGGCACUGACCCCUGAGGCACACAAUUAA